AUGGGCAUUGUGUCUGAAGAAGGUUUCUGGGCCCAGUCUGCUCUGACUCAGCCUCCCUCAGUCUUUGGAACUCCUGGACAGUCAGUCACCAUUUCCUUUGCUGGGACCAGCAGUGAUAUUGGGAGAUUUAAUGAUGUCUCCUGGUACCAAAAUCAUCCAGAAACAACCCAUAAACUCAUGAUUCAUAGUGUUAGUAGUCGGCCCUCAGGGAUCCCUAAUCAUUUCUCUGGCUCCAAGACUGGGGUUCCCACCCGUCCUUCACCAACGCCGGCCGGCCUGGCGCAAGUCCUUGUCUGGGCCCUGGCCCAGCCCCAGGUUGGAGAAGCCAAGGCGGCGGCGCUGGGAUCUGGAGGGUCCAUUCUUGUGAUUCUCAAUGGAGAGUGA